UCUGGCUCUUUUAGAGCCCGAGUUGUAAUUUGCAGAGGGCGCUUUGGCGUUGGCAGCGGUCCAAGUUCUUUGGAACAGGACGUCACAGAGGGUGAGAAUCCCGUACGUGGUCGCUAGCCUUGGCCGUGUAAAGCCCCUUCGACGAGUCGAGUUGUUUGGGAAUGCAGCUCUAAAUGGGAGGUAAAUUUCUUCUAAAGCUAAAUACUGGCCAGAGACCGAUAGCGCACAAGUAGAGUGAUCGAAAGAUGAAAAGCACUUUGGAAAGAGAGUCAAAUAGCACGUGAAAUUGUUGAAAGGGAAGCGCUUGCAGCCAGACUUGCCUGUAGUUGCUUAUCCAGACUUUUGUCUGGUGCACUCUUCUAUAGGCAGGCCAGCAUCAGUUUGGGCGGUUGGAUAAAGGUCUCUGUCACGUACCUCCUUUCGGGGAGGCCUUAUAGGGGAGACGACAUGCAACCAGCCUGGACUGAGGUCCGCGCAUCUGCUAGGAUGCUGGCGUAAUGGCUGUAAGCGGCCCGUCUUGAAACACGGACCAAGGAGUCUAACAUCUAUGCGAGUGUUUGGGUGUCAAGCCCAGACGCGUAAUGAAAGUGAACGGAGGUGGGAACCUUUUAGGUGCACCAUCGACCGAUCCUGAUGUCUUCGGAAGGAUUUGAGUAAGAGCAUAGCUGUUGGGACCCGAAAGAUGGUGAACUAUGCUUGAAUAGGGUGAAGCCAGAGGA
rnacentral:rRNA from 1 species